rnacentral:rRNA from 1 species
UACGUAGGGGGCGAGCGUUGUCCGGAUUUAUUGGGCGUAAAGAGCUUGUAGGCGGUUUGUCGCGUCUGCCGUGAAAUUUCGAGGCUCAACCUCGAACUUGCGGUGGGUACGGGCAGACUAGAGUGUGGUAGGGGAGACUGGAAUUCCUGGUGUAGCGGUGAAAUGCGUAGAUAUCAGGAGGAACACCGGUGGCGAAGGCGGGACUCUGGGCCGAUACUGACGCUGAGGAGCGAAAGCGUGGGGAGCAAACAGG